UACUGAUCAAAGUGCGAAGGUGUUCUAC
rnacentral:sRNA from 1 species